GAUCCACAAAUUUUGAGGUCAACAACCUUAGGAUUAGGAAUGUGAUUACGUUGUGUGGUGAAAUUGUCAAGUGGGAUGGGAGUAUUUUUAUUUAUUUUUUGAUCGGUAAAUGUAAAUAUAUAGAUAAAAAAUAUAUCAUGUACAAGUACACCGGUCAUACCCGGGCGAGACAAUGUCCAUAAUCAAAUACAAGUACACCGGACAUACCCGGGCGAAUCAAUGUCCAAAAACAUAUAAAAAGAUCAAUGAUCAAAACACUAAUAAACCCCAGUAGCAAGAGAAUCAAAACAUUCGGAUACAAAACGAACAUUGCUUUGUAUAUGUGUGUUUUGAUUUACCUAACAAUGGAUUCAACUUGCACUUUCGUACCAUCUAAAAUACAACAAUUCCUAGCCAUCCAAAUGUAGUAGACAAUAGUAGCAAAAGCAAUCCGUUUAACAUGGCUCGGCCAACUCUUCCCCCGCGCUUCUUUUUUCAACCAUUUAAAAGUGCUCGAUAAAGUAGACAUGGAACGCCUAAUACCCAACCAAAAUCUGAUCUGUUUCCAUACCUCGGAAGUGACCCGGCAUCCAAAAAAUAAGUGCUGGACAGAUUCGUCCAACACCUCACAAAGUGGGCAGAUUCGGUCCAUCUCCAAGUGCAAUAGCUUGUCCCUCGUCUGGAGCUUACAAUGGGCAGCUAACCAUAAAAUAAACGCGUGUUUGGGGGUGAUGGAACCAUCCCAAACCGUUUUGGACCAGAGAAGAAAUCCCCCCUUCGGCCUGAAGUAGUCAUAAGCUGCUGAAGUAGAAAAACUUCCAGAUUCUGUCCAGCUACACAAUCCGUCCAUUGCUGAAAAUCCGUGACUUUGGGCAGCAAUAAUGCUGUCCCGAAUGUCAAUCAGCUUCUUAAUGAGUGGGGAAUCUUGUUUCUUCACGCUAUACACCCAAAAAUCUGUCCCUUGAACGUAGACUCCAUUAAUCCAUUUAAUUCAAAGUGAGUCCUUCUUGCAAUGGAUAUUCCAAAGAGUUUUAGAAAGGAGUGCUGAAUUCCAACAUUUCAAGUCCCUAAAACCGAGCCCCCCCCUCAACCUUAGGGAGGCAAAUAGUGUUCCAAGCAACCAAAGGUUUCUUACCCCCCCCCCCCAAAGGAAACUACGACAAAGACUAUUGAUUUUAGAAAUUGCCGUAGCCGGGAUAGGAAGGAUAGAAAGCCAAAAGCAUUCCAAACCUUGAAGCACGACUUGCACAAACUCGAUCCUACAUGCAUAUGAUAGAGAGGAAGUCGACCAAGAACCAAUAUAAGAUGAGAUUUUAUUUGUGAGCACAUCAUAAGAACCAACUUUCAAUUUUUCCGCCGCAAGUGGUAUGCCCAAGUACCUAAACGGCAUGGGGCCAAUGGGGAGAUUUGUGAGAGCUAGAAUAUCCUCCAAAUCUUUACCAUGAAUACUCGCGGUGUAGAUGCAAGAUUUCCCAACAUUUAUAUUCAAUCCCGACAUGCCUCCAAAAAUCGAAAGGCAAUUCAAUAAAAUAUCCAAAAACAUGACAUCCCCUCUAGCAAAUAACAUCAAGUCAUCCGCAAAAGCCAAGUGUGUGAUCUUCAAU
rnacentral:lncRNA from 1 species